CCCACGUCCCCUCUGAUAAGUUUUUUUUGUUGUUGUUGUUUACGGGAGCCUGCCACCAGGGGGCUAAUCAAGGUGUUUCGGCUUCUGAAAGAUUGCGUUCUCGUGUGCGUCAGAGCCAAUCCGACAAGUUCGGAGCGUGACAAACGUCCUGCUUCAAAGAAUCUGAUUGGUCAGUCUUGAGCAGCCCGCAUUCAUUUGAAUGAACGUAGCCACGGGUUAGCUGCUAAUCUUUACAUGAGACGUACAAAUUUAGCUUACUUUUGCAAGCACGGUGAGCUGUAUGUUGGAAAGAAAUUUGAAGCAACAUCAGGCUACUGUCUUCGGCCAUGCUAAUAAAUCCCAUAACUCCACCCAACCAGGAGCGUUUGCUCGCUAUGAUUGGACGAACAAUGUUUCACGCUUAUCAAAUAUUCACGACUUACCUUAAGCACCGUGGGCAAGCGGGGACAGUAAUGGCAUCAGUGAUUCAGACAGAGAAACCAAUUGUGCACCUAGAAAAGAAAAAGAGAUAAUGAGUUGUCGAGAGGCUCCCCAUCUGGAUGGAAGACAGUCCUCUGUGUGCCUGAUUAAUGGUGUGGAGAGACAGUUGCCAGUUCUGAAGCCUUGCUGUCUGGCCCAGGUCAGAACUUCCAGAAGCCAAUGAAUUGAGCUAGAACUAAAUCAAUGGAAAGCUGCGAAAAUGUGAAAGCAAGAUGAAGAGAAAACCAGUGUCUAGGCCUUGAGGGCCAAGAUGCACAACAUCACACCAGACUCUUAUCUGUGGACGAGUCUUUCCCCUGAGAGGAUUCUGCACUCCACCGAACAGCAGGAUUCAAAGGUAUAUCAGGUGCAUGACCUUAGGGUUAGUGAAAUUUACAGCCAAGCAGUAUUAGCUGUAAAAGUCGAACACAGAACUCGACACCAUGUGGUCAGCAUAGAAUUAGACACACACAUGGACGCACACAUCCAACUUUCCAUUCUUUCUAUUACAUGCUCACUCAUACAAUAGUCAUAUGCCCUCAUAAAUACAAUGUUUUGCUUUCUGUGGCUGGUAGAUAGAUAGAUAGAAGGAUAGAUAGAUAGAUAGUAGGGAUGGUCGAUAUGUUAUCGUUUACGAUAUGUCGUCAAAACAUUCCCCACGGUAAGAAUAUGUCAUCCCUCGAUAAAAACGAUAAAUUCCCAUUGAUGACGUAUGUAAGUGUGCGACACACUUGCAGCCCAACACGUGUGGAAUAUUGACAACAAUGGCGGAAGGCGGAGCAGAUACGCCGGGCAGUGGGGAGCUCAUUCCUAAACGGGGCUCCAGCUCCGUUAUCUGGAACUGCAUUGGUUUUAAAAAGUCUGACGCGGAGUAGCAAUUUACUGCAUGCAAGGUUUACAAACAAAUAGUGCAUACAAAGGACAGUAACACGACUAAUUUGUUCCACCACCUCAAACACAAGCACAAACGGGAAUACGACGAUAGCCAGAAAAUGCGCAAGGAUGCAGAAGCAACGUCAACUUCAUCCAAAGAAACCAUCAACUCAACUUGCCGAUGCAUUUGCUCAUUCCACACUGUAUGAUGAUCAGAGCAAAUGGUGGAAAGAAUUAACGGAGGUAGUUGUUAUUUUUGCUGUUUGCACUGUUUCUUGCACUGUUUUUUUUAAACUGCCUGUGUGCCAAAACGUUUUGAUACAUUUUUAAUAAAUAAUAGAUUCUGUUCUCACAUCUCGGACGCGUUUGCUUGGUGUCACUCACUACAUUUUUGCAGUACAGGUGUACUACUUGAACUUAAUUGAUGUAGUUUAGUAGCCUUUAUUAUUAUUUUGGUGAUAGAUUUAUAGUCAAAAAGAUUAGGCUGAACUGGUGUUUAUUUAUCGUCAUUUUUAUUGUUACUGUGAUUAAUACCAGAAAUUAUUGGAAUAAAUUUUUUAGACCAUAUUGCCCAAUCCUAAUAGAUAGAUGGAUAGAUAGGUAGGUAGACUGAUAGAUAGAUAGAUUUAUCAUCUAAAAUUAUCUAUGUACAUGUUGUUUUAUCCUACACUAACUGCCUAGGAAGAGUACAUUUUAAAUUUAAUUCGAUUUAAUACUGAUUGACUUUGCAUUAUGCCAAACCACAAUGCAUAAUAUGUUGUAUCUUUGAAAAAAAUAGAUCCAUUAUCAUUCCAUUUUCCUCUCAUUAACCUUUGGUUCAUUGCUUAAUGUGUCACAGGCCAAAGGCCAUUGUAAUCUCUCUCAAUGGACACACUGUUCUUGAUCAAUAUGCUACUUGCUCAGCAACUCACAUUGUUUUAUUUUCCUGCUUGUGUUCCAGUUUAAGGUGUGAAAGGAUCAUUCCAGGUCUCAAAGGAGAAGCUUCUUUCAAUAUCCUCAAAGUGGCGGAUCCCACCCACUCAAUUGUUCUCCACAUAAUCAUAUAAAAAGAUUCAGGAAGAGUUGUUUUUUAUUGUUGUUGUGUUUUUCCUCUGCUGAACAAUGCCCUUCCGCCACAGGGUCCCAUAACAGCCUACCAGUCUGUGCUCAGCGCACCUCCACCCCUCAUCCCACCCUUGCUAUCUCGUCUUCCUCAUCUGGCCCAGGCCCACUUCCACAUCUACAUCCCAUUGUCUAAGUGAAGGCAGCACGCGCAGGGCUGGGGCCAGUCCAAACAUACUCAUCUCUUUCUCUGGAUGACUGCCAGUAUUCUUUGAAGAAUGUAAACUUCGUUACUUUCCAAAUCCAUUUAACAGUUUUGUUUUAGCAGUGAAUAAAGAUUACUCUCUCUACCUGUUAAAAAAAAGAGUUGGUGCUUAUUCACAUACUGUUUUGUAUGUUUGUAUGUGUCAUGUUUUAUGUUGGGAUUCCUGCAUGUACAUGUGUCGGAGAAACCAAAUCCCAGUCCAUCAUGAAUUCCCCAAGGUGGGCCAGCCAGUGUGUGUGUUUGUCACUGUCCCCUGUCAGGAAAGAGGGUUGGAGCGUGUUCUCCGGACAAACUCCCCUUGGCUUAGGAAGUGCUCCUCUAUAUUGGCCUCUUUGUGGCUCGCUAAUCGAGCUUUCCUGUCAGCAGGCUGCAUGGUCCCAGUGCACGGUGCACUACGUGAUACAGACCCACUCCGGUGCUCCAAGGGAAGUUCUGGGAUCAGCAGAUAACAGCACAGCUCCCUCAUCUAACACGCAGAAUAGCGCUGCCUCUCUCUGUCCCUCUGCCCAUGCAUGAAUAAGGAAAACACCGAUUUUAACCAUUUAAAAAAUUCCAUUAUUCAGACCUCCUUGGCUGCCGAACAAUCUAUUUUGGAAAACCCCAUAAUUUCCUUUAAACCUUUAAAGUGUGCGUAUGACAACACUAUUUUCUAAAAUAUAGAUGAGUACCUCUAAUUGAACAUCUUUUGUUAAUGUUGAAUACAUCUUGUCAGAAAAUACCAUCCAUUGAACAUGUACAUUGCUCUACCUUUUAUAUUACACUGUCUGUUCUUGGUUGCCAGAUUAAUGAUUAAAACAGACUAUUAUCCCUCCCACCUGAAUUUUGUACUCCACAGUGGGUCAUCGUGCAAACUGUAGCCCUCUUUUCAAAUGUAAGCGGAUUUUAGUGCUCUGUUAGAAGAGUGGUCACGAAGGACCCAUGUCCUGGUAUUCAAAACCAAUUAUAAAAUAAUAAUCUGUAAGUGUCACUUCUAUUUAAAUUUUCUGGCUAUUCAAGCAUUCACAGAUAUGUCAGGGGGAUUUGUCAAGGACAUUGUAGGAUGAAGCAGAUAUCGUAAUGGUGACAUUACUGAAUUUCAGAUUUUCUCACACGUCCUUGGCAGUCUACUUUUAUUUAGAUAGUACAUUGCUCACAUGUCCCCCAUUUUAGGCUAAGACAGCUGAUGUAACUAAUGCUACAGUAAUAAUUCUAAAAUACUGACUAACUGUUACAUAGGAUAGAAAAUGCACAAGUGAAUGAAUGAGCAUCCCACCUUUGGGAGUAAUGUCUGUGCAACACCACUGACAUAUAAAGAUGGACAACGCAUCUCCAUUCUCUCCUACUAUACCAAAAAAUUUUGAAGCCAAAAUAUCCCACAUGUGAGCACUGCGACCUUGCACUGAUGACAUCGUUCAGAGCCCAAAACAGCGCGGUAGUGAUUGAGUGAUGGAGCCGCAGGAUUGUAUUCCCGCCCAUGUACCCAUCUGAACCAAUUGCAAGUAGCACUCAGCUGUCAAUCAUGACAUUUCAUUCCCUUUUAAUAACUAAUUAAAACCAGUAAAAUCAUCAGUAAAAUGAGCACUUGCACUAAAAACUACCUAAAAUGGGGUUGGAGUCUAUCCCACCACCGCACCUCCCUCCGACGUGAUCGGAGGGUCACCGGUUCGAUUCCCCCACCGGACGGGCA